GACGAACGCUGGCGGCGUGCCUAACACAUGCAAGUCGAACGGAAAGGCCCUGCUUUUGUGGGGUGCUCGAGUGGCGAACGGGGGAGUAACACGUGAGUAACCUGCCCUUGUCUUUGGGAUAACUUCAGGAAACUGGGGCUACUACCGUAUCGGAUCCCCUGCUGCAUGGUGGGGGUUGGAACGUUUCGGCGGGCGGGGAUGGACUCGCGGCUUACGAGCUUGUUGGUGGGGUGGUGGCUUACCAAGCGAUAGACGGGUACGCGGCCUGUGAGGGUGACCGGGCACAUGGGGACUACGAUAGGGACCAGACGGGUACGUUAGGCAACAGUGGCAAGCAUUAUACAGUGGUAGGAAGCCUGAUGAAGCAACGCCGCGUGCGUGAAGACGUUCUGCUGGGUGUAAACAGCAGUCGCCUGUGACGAAGCGUUUGUGACGGUAACGGGUAAAGAAGCACCGGCUAACUACGUG
rnacentral:rRNA from 1 species